rnacentral:rRNA from 1 species
UACGUAGGGGGCAAGCGUUGUCCGGAUUUAUUGGGCGUAAAGAGCGUGUAGGCGGCUAAAUAGGUCCGUUGUGAAAACUCGAGGCUCAACCUCGAGAUGCCGAUGGAAACCACUUGGCUAGAGUCCGGAAGAGGAGAGUGGAAUUCCCGGUGUAGCGGUGAAAUGCGCAGAUAUCGGGAAGAACACCCGUGGCUAAGGCGGCUCUCUAGUACGGUACUGACGCUGAGACGCGAAAGCGUGGGGAGCCGAACAGGA